UUACUGCAUUCAACAUAAGUAUGGGCGAGUUAUCCUUGGUUAUCCUGUAUAGUUCACAAAAAUACACAAAUUUAAAUGCAUUUGACAUAAUCUCCAACAUGAAAAGAUAUGUUGUUAUGGUUUUUAGUGAAACCAUUUGGGGCACAGGCAGGGAUGAAAACAGGUUUACCAAACCAACUGAUGUUCCACACUGCCCUGAAAGCAAGAGAAUCAAAUAGAAUAACAAUUAUAAUCAUAGAAACAUGAAUAAUACUAAUAAAGGGGUUAAAUUUGACCCAUUAUUACCUGUCAGGAUGACUAGUUUAACAUGAGAAUAUUAUAUUGUGCAUGAUAUGAUUGAAAUCCCUGUCCAGAAUAUAAAAUUUUUAAAACCA